GGCGAACGCUGGCGGCGUGCUUAACACAUGCAAGUCGAACGGAAAGGCCCUGCUUUUGUGGGGUGCUCGAGUGGCGAACGGGUGAGUAACACGUGAGUAACCUGCCCUUGACUUUGGGAUAACUUCAGGAAACUGGGGCUAAUACCGGAUAGGAGCUCCUGCUGCAUGGUGGGGGUUGGAAAGUUUCGGCGGUUGGGGAUGGACUCGCGGCUUAUCAGCUUGUUGGUGGGGUAGUGGCUUACCAAGGCUUUGACGGGUAGCCGGCCUGAGAGGGUGACCGGCCACAUUGGGACUGAGAUACGGCCCAGACUCCUACGGGAGGCAGCAGUGGGGAAUAUUGCACAAUGGGCGGAAGCCUGAUGCAGCAACGCCGCGUGCGGGAUGACGGCCUUCGGGUUGUAAACCGCUUUCGCCUGUGACGAAGUGUGAGUGACGGUAAUGGGUAAAGAAGCACCGGCUAACUACGUG
rnacentral:rRNA from 1 species